AACGAACGCUGGCGGCAUGCCUAACACAUGCAAGUCGAACGAUGGUCUUCGGACCAUAGUGGCGCACGGGUGCGUAACGCGUGGGAAUCUGCCCUUGGGUUCGGAAUAACAGUUGGAAACGACUGCUAAUACCGGAUGAUGUCGAUAAGACCAAAGAUUUAUCGCCCGAGGAUGAGCCCGCGUCGGAUUAGCUAGUUGGUGGGGUAAAGGCCUACAAAGGCGACGAUCCGUAGCUGGUCUGAGAGGAUGAUCAGCCACACUGGGACUGAGACACGGCCCAGACUCCGCGGGGAGGCAGCAGGGGGGAAUGUUGGAAAAGGGGCGAAAGCCUAAUCCAGCAAGGCCGGGGGGGUGAUGAAGGCCUUAGGGUUGAAAAGCUCUUUUACCCGGGAAGAUAAUGACUGUACCGGGGAAAAAAGCCCCGGCAACCUCCGU
rnacentral:rRNA from 1 species